AGUUUUUGAGUCAACUUUUAUAUAUCUUCAAAAUCCAGCCCAGCCCAGUGUAUGCAAGAAUGUUUCAGAUAAUCCAUACUGAGGAUCUGCCCAGAAAAGCCCAGCAGUUACAGGAAGGAAUGGUUAAAACGCUAAAGAAGCAUCAAAGUGCCAUUUCCUUUCACUGCUGUCCUCCAAGUCUGCAGGUUGCUAAUGUUGUGGAACGUCAAGAACCAGAAAACAG